GGAUAGAUGCCCGAAUCGGUAAGGAAGUAGUUUGCUAAACUAUAGGAUAUUUUAUCCUUGUGGGUUCAAGUCCCGCUCUAUCCA